AUUUUGUCAUUUAUUUUACCAUCAUAUUAUCUAACGUUAGAUAUCAGUCAUCACUGUUGAAAGAUGACUGAUAUCUAAUGUUGAGUUACAGAAAAAGUGGAGUCAUCUGGAGUCACCAAGUCUCCAAAAAUAGACAAUUUAAAAUGGAUGUAAGGAAAAGUAUUUUUGUCAUUUAAUUAUGAAUGUAAAUGGUUGGAGUUGUUAUACAGUGGGACUUUGCCUGGAAGCAUGUGCUAUGGUCAGAUAAAAUGAAAAUGAAGCUUUAGGGCAACAGAUAUUUAAGAUCCAUUUCACUUCACAAAAGCCCAAGGGUUGUCCCCUACACUGACAGUGUCCUCAUACAUUGUAAGGGAGA